AAGUAAUGCGUCGCUAUGGAAACGGGACCACGGCAAAUUCCAUCCCUCGUCUCUCUACGACUGCUGUGUCGACCGCAACAGGAGAUUAAUGACAGCGUCAGCGAGGGAAGCAGGAAAUGAAGAUGCGGACAGCAAAUCCGGCAUCCCACCGAGCAAUGCUAGCGAGGCAGCGCACUUGAAGGCGUCGUGAUUGACGUGGCCAACGGCAAAAUGGAAAUAUAGGCUGCGAAUCUGCAAGUGCCUGGGUGUCAUGGGAAACAGUAGACGCCGCUCGCUGUGUUUGUAGCAGAAUGACAACUGUCUGACUCCUCGCGCUGUCUCGCACCCCCCUCUCAUCUUACUUUCACCCGCCAUCGCUUCUUUUUUCUAAUAUGCGCGUCUCUCUCUCUCUCUCUCUCGCUCUCUCUCUUUCUUUCUCUCUCUUUUUUUAUUCACUCGUCUCACACUCUCUAUUUUUCACUUUUUCGCUUAUUCCUGAUAUUAAAUAAUAUUCAUAAUGAAUAGAUAGAUAGAUAGAUAGAUAUCUAUAGAUAGAUAAAUAGAUA
rnacentral:lncRNA from 1 species